GAAGGAUGGAGGUUGAGACAACGGCACUUUGAAACUGUAACUUCACUUGUUAGAUCUUGCCGGAGAUUCUUUCCAGCAGGUUCUGCCUCGGAGAUAUGGUCCGAGUUUAGUUCUCUAUUGGAAAAUCCAUGGCAUAAUUCAUCAUUUGAAGGAGCUGGGUUUGUGAGACUGUUUCUACCCACCAACUUGGACAACCGGGACUUCUAUACAGAUGAUUGGGUUAAAAAGAGUGUGGAACUGUGGGACUCCAUACCAAAUUGCCAAUUUUGGAACAGCCAAUGGGCA
rnacentral:misc_RNA from 1 species